AGAGUUUGAUCCUGGCUCAGGAUGAACGCUAGCGGCAGGCUUAAUACAUGCAAGUCGAGGGGUAGCAUGAUUGUAGCAAUACAAUUGAUGACGACCGGCAAACGGGUGCGGAACACGUACACAACCUUCCUACAAGUGGGGAAUAGCCCAGAGAAAUUUGGAUUAAUACCCCGUAACAUAGCGAUGUGGCAUCACAUUGCUAUUAUAGCUUCGGCGCUUGUUGAUGGGUGUGCGGCUGAUUAGAUAGUUGGCGGGGUAACGGCCCACCAAGUCUACGAUCAGUAGCUGAUGUGAGAGCAUGAUCAGCCACACGGGCACUGAGACACGGGCCCGACUCCUACGGGAGGCAGCAGUAAGGAAUAUUGGACAAUGGACGCAAGUCUGAUCCAGCCAUGCCGCGUGAAGGAUUAAGGUCCUCUGGAUUGUAAACUUCUUUUAUAAGGGACGAAAAAAGGUCUUUCUAGAUCGUCUGACGGUACCUUAUGAAUAAGCACCGGCUAACUCCGUGCCAGCAGCCGCGGUAAUACGGAGGGUGCAAGCGUUAUCCGGAUUCACUGNGUUUAAAGGGUGCGUAGGCGGGCAGGUAAGUCAGUGGUGAAAUCCUAGAG
rnacentral:rRNA from 1 species